rnacentral:lncRNA from 1 species
CAGUUCUUUGAAUAGGGAAUCCUCAGGUUGAGCCUGUCUGUUCUGUAGCAGAGAGUCCUGACCUUCAAAAUUUUGUGGAACCUCCUGCUGGCUCAGGUCGUCAUUUCGCUGAUUAAGAGAUAAGUUCUGGGUCUGAGCUACCAAUCCGUCGUGUGCUCCUCCUGAAUUCCCACCAGUGAAAGUUUGCUGGUGCUGCUCAAAGAACUGCUGCCUUUCACCAUACUUUGACGGAGGUGGUGGUAAGAAACCAGCAGGUUGGACUUCCCAAGGAGCCUUUGGAAGAUUCUCUGUAGUGGAUUUCGUGGUUUGAGCAGGCUCAUCGUAUCUGGGUAGGCCAGAGAAUACUGAUGGUGGAGUUGAGUCCAAUCCUGAAGUGGGAGGGGAAGACACAGAUGAGUUGGGUGGUGAAGGCAGAUUCACAUGAGCAUCUGAUGGCGUUUCUGAUCUGUAAGUUUCUCCACUAAGAUAGUCAACCGGGCUUGCAUCUGUGCUGACUGGCCUCUUUGAUGAUGGUGGUGGAGGAAGAAGUGGACUUGGGUUCUUGGCAAUAGAAGACUUCCUACUCCGGCCUGAUGCACCAUCCCUUGAGCUCCUGAACCAUCAGCAGACGAUAUGAGCUGGUUAAAUAUGGUUACAAUGGAUUAUCAUGAGCAAUUUUGACUAACUUAAAUUUCUACCAGCAAAGUCUGGCUAAAAUUAGCUACUUUAUAGCAUGCAGUCCCUAAAGUGCCAUGAGCUUGCUGCAUGGUUCCAGAAUACAAGUUGUAUUAUAGUUCCCAAACAUUUCAUUUAUGCUACCAGGAGUAACUCAGCACCACUUGAGAGGCGCUCCUAACUUACCAAAUGUGAUGGUGUUAAACAUCAAUUCAUGCAUAUGCAAAAUUUGAAUAGCAUCCAAAAGAAGGAAAAUUUCUUCAUUGAUCUAAUGGUGAAGAUUUAUAUUUCUUGCUCGCUGAGUAGGCUCAACUCCAAAGAAGGUAACUUUACAUAACAGAACCAAAGGAGGGGGGGUACAAUAGCAUCUUGUAUGUCAGGUUUACAAGCCAAAUAACAGGAAUUCACGGCUCCAGCAAAUAUCUGGUUAGACUAUUAAAGGGUUCUUUUGGACGACAGUCAGGCAGAUCAUUAGAUAGAAAUUUACAUGAGAAAGACUGACAAAAUAAAUGACCGAANNNNNNNNNNNNNNNNNNNNAUUUACAUGAGAAAGACUGACAAAAUAAAUGACCGAAGGCCUCUUUUUCUUUCUCUACUGCUGCUUCUCCCUAUUCUUCUCUACUUGAUUCUUCUUCCCAUCUCUCUUUAUCUUAGUCAUCUUCUUCUUUGUUGUGUUAAUUCUCUGAUUUUGAUGGCAUCUUUCUGCUAAUUACAAGUUCAGAAUCAGGUCUGGAGUUAUUAUGCUGUCAAAUCAUUUCUAUUAUUCAGAUACGAUUCUCAGUUUUGAAAUUGUUUUAUCCUAUCAAUUGAAAGGGCUUGAAGAAUGCUCAUUAUUCAGAUCCAAUUCAGAUAUGAAUUUAAACUGGAGAGACCUAUUCACAAGUAAUCUCUAAUUGACCAGAGAUUACAUCAGACGAAGCGCAAUAGACCAUGGAUUGUUCCUUUCAGGGAAAGACAACAGGCUUCCAAUAUUGCAUCCUUAAGAAAAGGAGCUCAUGGCAUAUCAAGAGUACAAUAAAGAUGAUAUGCUUGUUAAAAAAAUGAAACUAAUUAAUUUUUUAUAUAAUGAAAAUCAUAGCCGCAUAGACUUCUAUUUCAAAGACCAAAGGAGAAAUAAGUUCGAAAACACAUACUAUCCCCAUAUCAACAUGACAUUCCUAUCACCUUUAAGAUUAUCUAUGUGUGGUUGUACAAGCCAUUCUCUAUAUUCAGAGCUCAAGCACCAAAUGAUAUCGAAACACAAAACAAGGCUUAAUUCAAAAAUAUAGAAACCAUGCAUAUUACCUGUGAGAAAGCUGAGAAAAAUCAUCCUCUAACUCAUCAUCCUCGUGAUUUACAUUGACAAGAGGUGCAGCUGAAGUUAGUGUAGUUGAGGCCACUGUUGUUCCACCAACAGGAGGAGUUCCCUUCAGAAUGUCAUCAUGCCGUUGAAGCACACGCUGCAAUUCGUCAUUUAGUGCUAGACCCUGACAUAGAAGUUCCUCAUCUCUGUAAAGUUAUGCAACAACAAUGUCAGUAUCAAAUGAUUCCAAAUGAUGAUAUUUUUUGCAACAUGAUAAACACCAUACCCAGUAGCAUUCACAAGUUGCAUGACACGCUUAUGAUUAGUACGGCAUUGCUCGACAAGGUCAACAAUAACUUCUUGCUUUACAUCCUGUCAUGAGAAGCAUAAUUCAGUGGCAUGAAAAAUUGGUCAGAGACAAAUUAGUCGGAGAAUUAUCCAGUUAAUAACAAAAGAGUUGGGUACAAUUCUUGCUGUUGGAUUUAACUAGUCCAUGCAAAAGCAUUUUGCUUACCAUCAUAUCUCUCCAUCCCAAUAGCACACUAGUAGUGUUAGGCAAAUGUUCCAGAGCAACCAUUAAAAUACACUAACAGAUUAACUACACAGAUGGCAGGAGCAGGAGCAUUGACUAAUUGACUAACAUUAGUAGUUUUGAACAUUAUCUGAUGCUUUGUUGUUUAAAUAUAUAAAUUAUCAAGGAGAAUAAGUUCAUACUAAACUAAUUAGGGUCAUGCACACAAUCUUUUAAAAUUAAUAAUGUUCGCUUUCUUCAAAAUAACAGAAGAACUUACAUGGAAUUUCAUGUUCCAAGAUUAUACACAUUUUUUUUCUAAAUAUCUAUGUUCUACCUAUUAUAUCUAGACAUCUAUUUAUAUAUCCAUGCAAUCACCCACUUGAAAGGAAGGAGAGCAUAGUGAUUAAGAAUGGUUCUGCAUAUAAAAUAACCAUGCAUACACACAUGUAUCAGCACAGAAGAAUAUGGAAACGAACCUCUAAUGAGUUCAGAGAAAAAUAAUUAAAAAAUCAUCUUAUAUUCUUAACACUGAUUUUAUCUUGUAUGCAUGGAGACAGGAACAAUGUAGUGAGCUAAUCAUUUAUCAAUGCCAACAAUGGUCAACCAACUCAACAAUUAAUUUCCGUAAAGCCUUGAAUUGAAUAUCAUGCCUCUUUUUAACAUGUCAGAAUUAAAAUCCUUAAAGCGCAAUUAUGUCUAGCGCCCAAACACCCAUAAUGAGACAAAAGAAGUUAACUAUUUCUGACCUGGUCAAUCCUAGUUUUACAGGCAGAUACACAACCAGCAAUCUCAUUUUAGUCAUGCAUGUUUUCUGGGCAUGCACUCCUUCUGAAGGAACUUAACCACGAUAUUUGGAACAUCUCAUCCAUGUUUUAUGUUUGAAUGUCCGACAUCUUCAUCAUUAACUUAUUCAUCCUAAAGCAGAAUAUAUAGUCCAACUUUUUCUUAUGAUGGAUUUUAAGUUAUAUCUGUGACUAUAGUGUUAAGAACAUGUUUGAAUUAUGUAAAUUAGAAUAUUCAGUAUAACUUUAGUAGAUUUCAGUUGCUGUAUCUUUCACUCGAGUGCUACUAACAUUUUAACAUUGACAGAUACAGGUAUAAUAUAUGACACAAUAAACUCCACAGAGUACAUCAAAAGAAGUCAAAAGAAUUUAUUCAGUGCCUUAAACAACUAUGAAAUCAAAACACAAUGUAUUAUGCUAGCAAAAGUAAAAGCUACUAUUGUCACUCAGAAUGAACUUGACUCAUUUAUUUAACAUGAGUUCAGAAUAUUAUGAUGGCGAAUAAAAAGUGCAAUUCAAUUUUUUGUAUCUCUUGGGAUUUUCGUUUAGGUAAUUUUCAGAAUUGGUUUUAGAGUACCAUUUUAAGUGAAAUUGGUGUAAAAGAGUCAUAUAUUAUGUAUAUGUUGGGUUGAACAAGUCAUAAAAUCAUCAGGAUUUGAUUUUUGAUUGUUUUAGGUGUCUUUCUACACAGGGUUAUGUGCUAUUCCGUAUUUUAUUUUUUCAGGAUUUGGGAAUCACUUGCUUGCUUAUCAAGAGUCCUGAUUUACUUGGAAAACAAGUCAUGUGGAGUUUAUAAAAGGGUCUAUUAGGACUAAAUGAAAAUGAAUUGCGCAUGAUUUAUUUUGAACGAAUGAAAUGAUUUCUUUAGGCCAUAUUUGGACUUUCUUAUCUUUCUCUGUUUCUAUCCCUAUUUGCUUCUCUAUUUCUUUCUUCUUCUUUUAUUACUUCACUUUAUUUCUUCCCUACUUUCUAAUACUUUCUACUAUUCUCUCUUAUUUCUGCUGCUAUUCUUCUUCUUCACUGGAUUGUUGGCACUGCAGAUUGAUUCUCUGCAUGAUAUUAAAUCUAAUCUAUGCUGGAAUUAGCUUUAAACUGCUUUAGCCUCUUGCUGUUCUCAAUCAAAUAUUAUACCUUUUACAGGACAAGAUGUUGUUAUAGUUUUACUAGUGGCUAUCAAGACCCCAUGCUUUAGGAUGUGAAGAGACAAACCAAAUAAAAUGUAACAUCAUAACAAGAAGUUCUUCAAAAGUGAAAGAUGAAAUAUCCAGAACUGUACAAAAAUCAUUGAAAACAGCAAAGUUUCCUGUAUUUUGUUUUUUCCUUAAGACUCCACAGGUGGUGACUUUAAAAAAAAAAGUCUAGAAGACAAUUCCACCUCGGAAUUACGAGGAUCCAAUGCAUUCAGCAUCUCUGCCAACACAUCUGCUAUUCCUCGAGCAUUUUGAAUGUCAUGCAAGCUGCAUUACAACAAUGAAACAGUAUUAAAAUGCAUUUUUUUCCAAAAUAUUUCAAAAAUAAAAUGCAUAAAAAUGGAAGUAACAUAAAAUAGUGGCAUUAACAAUCAAAACAACCAAUUCAACAAUGUGUGCAAUCAUGUUCCAUGCACAGAAGUGAAAAUAAUAGUAUCACCCUAAAUGUACAUUCGCUUGCUAAUUUGUAACAGACAUAUUUAUCAACUCUAGUUUGUGCUGACCAGAAGUACUCUAUCUACACAUGCACAAACUCAACUUGUAUGCUGAACAAAAUCAUUGCAAACAUUCAACAUAUGCAGGCCCUAUUAUUAUCUCCUCUCGUAACUGCUAAUAAAAUCACUAUAACACGCAUUCAACAAAGAGACUUCCAUUACAAUAUAAGCAAAUACAUUAGAGUUAGAAGGAACAAUACCUCUUGGAGGAAUUGUUUAAUAUGAGAGCUUGCCACCUCAUUGACAAUGACCAAAAAACAAGUACACCAUACCUAGACACCUUUUGGAGAACUUGUCCAACAUGAAUCAUUUUAAAUUGAAUCUUGCAAUCUGGACCAAAAUGUCCCUAAAGAAUUUGGAUCUCAUCCUUAAGUUGGAACCAAUCAGGAUCAUGAGAUAAAGAUCAUAGCAAGGAUCAUACAAUCCUUGGAUCAUAAGAUCCAAAUUGGCCAUGUUGUUUACAUAUCCAAACAAGUCAUUUCCAACAAUUAAUUUGACUGUAGGCUUUUAGAAUUACAUAUUUAACAUAAGACCCUUCAAGCGCAUAAAAUUAGAAAGAUGACUAGUGUUUCUAACUUCUAAAAGGAAGGAAAAAGAAACUUGGGAGUUCAUGGAGUUUAAAAGAAGAGGUAAACAUUUGUACUUUUCCAACCAUUUGCUGAAACCUGAUUUCUUUUUUCCCCUUAAAACUAAAAGACAACUGAGUUGAUGGAUAGUACAUAAAUAUCUUGAAUACUUGGCUAUGGUAUUUAUCUCAUUAAAUAUGGCAUAUAUGGGCUCAUGAUGGUGAAUAUAGACUUUUUAUGUGUAUGGUCUUUUACCCUCCAUUCAUCUAUUUUAUCAUUGACUCAUUUUUCAAUUUUCAUGUUUUGUUUCUAUUCUUAACUUUUUUAAAAAAAAAUGGAAAAGAAUAUUAAGAUUUGUGGUUUGAUCCACCAUCUGUUUCGAAUUAAGCCCCAGAUUGAAUUACAACCCGAUCCACUGUCAUAUCCUAUUAUACAAUUUCAUGCCACAUCUUUUUUCUAGCUACUCAAUCCUCAAAAUUAUUUGUAUGCAAUUUCUCAUAUAUAAAGAGAACAGCAUAAAAUACUAAAGUAGAAUAAGUACCUAAAAGCAGGACCAUCGUCAGACUGAAGAGAAGCCUGUAUAGCUGCAUCCUCAUAUGCUGAUGCAGCAGGUUGAUACGUCACAGGGCGAGUUUGGGGAGGCGUAAACAAUGGUGCACUGUUUUCUGUACGUGGUGGAAAUUCUACUCCAUAAGCCUGCCACAACAAUAAGGGGGGAAAAUCUUCCAAUAUCAUUGUUGAUGACCCAUUACAAACCACAAGACAAUUUUAGUCAUCAAACAACGAAACUGCUGCAGCAUAUCCAAGAUAUGAAGUGGGGAAAAAAUUAUUGACAUGAACCAAAACACAAGAAUGGAAGAUAAAAAAAAUGGAAUUCUCAGAAAAAUCACAGAACAGUCAAGUAAUAUGCUCCUCUAUCCUAGUUUUAAGUUCAGUUUUCUUCAGUUUGAUCUUAGUUCAUAUCACAGCUUCCAAAUGAGUUGCCAAGAGAGAACUCAAAAUUAAUUCAUGAUUAAGCACAAUUUAAGAGAAAUUCAGAUUCCUAACACAUGCAUACACAGAGAGAGAGAGAGAGAAAGAUUUAGGAAAUUUUUGGUUACUAGAAAAUUUAUCGGAGAAAUAGUUUGGAUUUUGGAGGUACUGAAGACAUCUCAAAGGGUAGUCAGGAUUCAAAAAAAAUCAGAGCAUCUCAGGCGUCCCCAGUGAAAUAUGUAUUAUUUGCAGGAUUUUAUAGAGUUUUAUAUAAGCAUAGUUUUUUUUAUUCAGCUAAUAAAAUCAGGAAAAACAUUCAAGCAUGAAGAUGAGAAUAGUAGUAUAUUUUUUUCAAAAAAAAAAAAGAGUUUCUUGUCAUCAGGAGUAAAAGUCAUUAAUACUAUGGUAACAUGCUCGUAUGAUCAUAACCAACAAAAACCUUUGUAGCUGUCAAAGUUUAUAGAAUAAAUGUAAUUGGGGAUGUUAAGGUUGCAUAUUCACCGGUAAGCUUUGAAGUGCCACUUUGCAAAAUGACUCAUGUCAUCGUAGGAAGAUGCUGAAGUAACUGAACUAACUAUAGCAUUGAUGGAAAAGUUCUUGAAAACUAUUCAUAGAUGAGGUUGUAUAAAAGCUCACCUACGCUAUAUUUUAGGUUGUUUGAGAUGAUAUGUAGAUGCAUAACUUUCAAUAGAUAGAAACAAAUAGAUAGCAAAUUUUCCAUACAUACAAGUUUUUUACGCAAAUAGCACCACUCUAAUAACAUCUCUAUUGAAAAGCAAUUACUAAAUGUUGUCUUUUCAUCUUGAGGAUGGUUGGUUUAGGAAGUCAAGCUUCUUUUCUUUCCAAUACCCUUUCUGCAAUAACCCAGAAUUUUGGGGCCCGUGGGCCGGCCCAGAGUGGCCAAGCCCAGCCCGAUCCUGCACGCCUAGCCCAGCCUAUGAGCUUGUAAGCCAGCCCGAAUAGGCCUGGCCGAACUCAUUACGUGCUUGGCACAUGUGGCAGAGGAGGGAGACUCCUGAUUGAAGUCUUCCUCUUCCCCUGUUCUGUUUACCUCCCUCCGAUUCCACCGAAAGGGGGAGCCUAGAGCGACCGGAUCUUACCUAAUUUGAGUCGAUCCUUGUCUAUAAAAGAACCUCUCCCCCCUUCUUUGGCAUCAACCUUGGGAGCUCUUUCAUUAGAGGCUUUGAUCGCUAGGUGUUCCAUGGGGCGAGAUUGGAGUGUUCGUCGUUGAUCCGGCCAAAGGAGCUUGUUGGAGGCAAGGUGAGCUACCUCUUUUCCUUUCCGGUCUUUGGGCCACCGUUCUAUCUUGAAUCUAGGUUAUCGGAUACCUCGGAUAAUUUUUUAUGUUGAUUUGGUUCUAUAGAAGAACAAUCCUUCGGACAAGAGGACGUUAAGCAGGGUUUUGCGCACCCCAGUUCGUAUAUCGCGGUAUAGGCAAGUGAUUAGUCUGUCUAGGUUGUCAGCAAAAAGGUAGAAUUCUUGUACACCGACUUGCAUGAUAUAGACAUUUUUGUACCUAUAUAUAUAUAUAUAUAUAUAUAUAAUAUUUUUUUAGAUCAACAAGAUGCCAAAUAGUAUGAUAUAAAUUUUUUGUACAGCUACUGAUCAAGAAAGAACAUGGAGGCAUGAAGCCCCUAUUAACUCAGACAAGGAUUUAAGAAACCAUGACUCAUCAGUCAUCACACAUUGUAACCAAAAUGCAUGACACCAACGCUAUUCUGAUCAUGCUAUACACAACUCACAGAAUAACCAACUAGAACAAUAUUUAAACCAUAGACAAAGUCCUGUCUUUAUUUCACUAGCAACUUAGUCCUGUCCUCUCAUUCUGCAUGAUAAACCCACUAUGAAUAUUACACAAGCCACCACACAUGCAUGAAAAGAUCAUUUAACGCGUUCUACGGCUGUUGGGCGGCCUGGUGGAAGGAGAUGAUUUGGCUUUUGCAAAAUCAACCAGUUCUUUGAAUAGGGAAUCCUCAGGUUGAGCCUGUCUGUUCUGUAGCAGAGAGUCCUGACCUUCAAAAUUUUGUGGAACCUCCUGCUGGCUCAGGUCGUCAUUUCGCUGAUUAAGAGAUAAGUUCUGGGUCUGAGCUACCAAUCCGUCGUGUGCUCCUCCUGAAUUCCCACCAGUGAAAGUUUGCUGGUGCUGCUCAAAGAACUGCUGCCUUUCACCAUACUUUGACGGAGGUGGUGGUAAGAAACCAGCAGGUUGGACUUCCCAAGGAGCCUUUGGAAGAUUCUCUGUAGUGGAUUUCGUGGUUUGAGCAGGCUCAUCGUAUCUGGGUAGGCCAGAGAAUACUGAUGGUGGAGUUGAGUCCAAUCCUGAAGUGGGAGGGGAAGACACAGAUGAGUUGGGUGGUGAAGGCAGAUUCACAUGAGCAUCUGAUGGCGUUUCUGAUCUGUAAGUUUCUCCACUAAGAUAGUCAACCGGGCUUGCAUCUGUGCUGACUGGCCUCUUUGAUGAUGGUGGUGGAGGAAGAAGUGGACUUGGGUUCUUGGCAAUAGAAGACUUCCUACUCCGGCCUGAUGCACCAUCCCU